rnacentral:rRNA from 1 species
UGAACGACUCUCGGCAACGGAUAUCUCGGCUCUCGAUCGAUGAAGAACGUAGCGAAAUGCGAUACUUGGUGUGAAUUGCAGGAAUCCCGUGAACCAUCGAGUUUUUGAACGCAAGUUGGGCCCUACGCCCCGGCUGAGGCAUGCCUGCUGGGCGUCACCG